UUCUCAAGGGGAUCUCCCUGACCCAGGGAUUGAACCCAUGUCUGUUAUGUCUCCUGUAUUGCGGACAGAUUCUUUACCACUUGACCCAUCAGGGAAGCCCAAGUAAAUAAAUAAAUAGAUAUGUAAGUAGGUCCUGUGGGAUCAGUGUGCAUAGCCAGAAACAACGACCUAAUCUAGAAUAGGGAUUUACAUGUAAUGUGGUUGCCAAAAGCCCCGCAACCUACCCCAGAGUGCUGUUUCCUUUCAGAGACAUUAGAGCCGUGGUCUUGAUGCCAGGUCAAGCUGAUUGCGUAAGGCAGUUUGGGUAAACAGUUUAGGAAUCAGGUAAACGGAAGUCAGGUAAACAGUUUCCUAUCUGGAAAAGCAGUACCUGGACACCCACUUGGUGCUAGACCCUGUGUGAGCUGCUAGACCAACAAAGGGCUUCCCUGGUUAAGAAUCCGCCUGUCAGCACGGGAGACAAGGGUUCGAUCCUUGACCUGGGAAAAUCCCGAAUGCCAUGGAGCAGCAAAGCCGGUGCGCCACACUAUUGAGCCUGUGCUCCAGAGCCCGGGGCCACAGCUACUGAAGCCUGUGUGCCCUGGAGCUGCUGCUCUGCUGCAAGAGAAGCCCCUGCAAUGAGAAGCCUGAGCACUGCAACUGGAGAAAAGCAUGCAUGGCCACGAAGACCCAGCACAGCCAAAAAUAAAUACUUUUUUAAAAAGGUAAAACUUUACAGAUAAAGCUGAAGUCUUACUUCCUCUCCAUUCCAGCCCCUCUAAAUCUUUUUUUAAAAAAAAUUAACAAUCUUCCGUGUUGUAUGUUUUAUGUAGUUCCUUACAAAAAUGGCAUAAUGUUGCCUGUACUACUCUGCAAUACAGAAUAUUGCUUUUCCUCUCUCUCGGUAAGCUCUAUCUGUGAUGUCACGUUCCUUUCACCAGCUACCGGAUGUUCUGUUUUAUCUGUUUCACUAUUGACAGAUGUUUAGGUUGUUCCUAGUUUCUCAGAAUUACAGAUAAGGCAGCAACACCCUUUCUUAAUCAUGCCUCCUUUCUCCAGAUGGGUGUGCUAGGAGGUGGAACUCACUAGGUCAUGGAGUAAGCACAGCUUUCCUAGAUGCUGUCAGAUGACCCUCCAAAGUCCUUUUUAUUCCUGCUGUUUCUGCAAGUUCUUUUUUAAACUUAAGUUUUACAUAUUAAAAAAAAAUUGAGGUAUGUUUGAUUUAUAGCAUCAUGUUAAUUUCAGUGUGCAGCACAGUGAUUCAUAGAAGCUCUUUGUAAAUCUACACACAGAGGGUUCCCCGGUGGUCCAGUGGUUAAGAAUCUGCAUUGCCAAUGCAGGUGACACCAGUUGGAUCCCUGAUCUGGGAAGAUCCCACAUGCCAUGGAGCAGCUAAGCCGGUGCGCCACAAGUGUUGAGCCUGUGCUCUGAAGCCGGGGAGCCACAACUACUGAAGCCUGUACACCCAAGAGCCUCUGCUCCGCAACAGAGAAGCCACUGCAAUGAGAAGCCCAUACAACAAAGCUAGAGAGUAGGCCCUGCUCGUUGCAACUAGAGAAAGGCCACCCACAGCAGAGAAGAACUAGCACAGCCAAAAAUAAAAACUAAUUAAAAAAAAUCUACACACAA